rnacentral:tRNA from 1 species
GCCUGGGUGGUGGAACUGGUAGACACACAGGACUUAAAAUCCUGUGGGAGCAAUCCCGUGCGGGUUCGAUUCCCGCCUCAGGCA